GACGAACGCUGGCGGCGUGCCUAAUACAUGCAAGUCGAACGGUCUUUUCUAUGGAAGCUUGCUUCCGCUGAGAAGAUAGUGGCGAACGGGUGAGUAACACGUGGGUAACCUACCCAUAAGAGGGGGAUAACAUCCGGAAACGGGUGCUAAUACCGCAUAGUUUUCUUGAUCGCAUGAUCGAGAAAGGAAAGACGGCCUUUGUGCUGUCGCUUAUGGAUGGACCCGCGGCGUAUUAGGUAGUUGGUGAGGUAACGGCUCACCAAGACGAUGAUACGUAGCCGACCUGAGAGGGUGAUCGGCCACAUUGGGACUGAGACACGGCCCAAACUCCUACGGGAGGCAGCAGUAGGGAAUCUUCCGCAAUGGACGAAAGUCUGACGGAGCAACGCCGCGUGAGUGAAGAAGGUUUUCGGAUCGUAAAACUCUGUUGUCAGAGAAGAACAAGUCGGAGAGUAACUGCUCCGGCCUUGACGGUAUCUGACCAGAAAGCCACGGCUAACUACGUGCCAGCAGCCGCAGUAAGAC
rnacentral:rRNA from 1 species